CAGCAGCCGCGGUAAUACGGAGGGGGCUAGCGUUGUUCGGAAUUACUGGGCGUAAAGCGCACGUAGGCGGACUGGAAAGUCAGAGGUGAAAUCCCAGGGCUCAACCUUGGAACUGCCUUUGAAACUAUCAGUCUGGAGUUCGAGAGAGGUGAGUGGAAUUCCGAGUGUAGAGGUGAAAUUCGUAGAUGUUCGGAGGAACACCAGUGGCGAAGGCGGCUCACUGGCUCGAUACUGACGCAGAGGUGCGAAAGCGUGGGGAGCAAACAGGAUUAGAUACCCCGGUAGUCCCUGUCUCUUAUAC
rnacentral:rRNA from 1 species